CCUACGGGUGGCAGCAGUGAGGAAUAUUGGUCAAUGGACGAGAGUCUGAACCAGCCAAGUAGCGUGAAGGAUGACUGCCCUAUGGGUUGUAACCUUCUUUUAUAUGGGAAUAAAACGUUCCACGUGUGGGAUUUUGUAUGUACCAUAUGAAUAAGGAUCGGCUAACUCCGUGCCAGCAGCCGCGGUAAUACGGAGGAUCCGAGCGUUAUCCGGAUUUAUUGGGUUUAAAGGGAGCGUAGGUGGAUUGUUAAGUCAGUUGUGAAAGUUUGCGGCUCAACCGUAAAAUUGCAGUUGAAACUGGCAGUCUUGAGUACAGUAGAGGUGGGCGGAAUUCGUAGUGUAGCGGUGAAAUGCAUAGAUAUUACACAGAACACCGAUUGCGAAGGCAGCUUGCUAGGCCGGAUCUGACACUGAUGCACGAAAGCGUGGGGAUCGAACAGGAUUAGAUACCCGAGUAGUC
rnacentral:rRNA from 1 species